UAGAGUUUGAUCAUGGCUCAGAGUGAACGCUGGCGGUAGGCCUAACACAUGCAAGUCGAACGGCAGCACAGUAAGAGCUUGCUCUUAUGGGUGGCGAGUGGCGGACGGGUGAGGAAUACAUCGGAAUCUACUUUUUCGUGGGGGAUAACGUAGGGAAACUUACGCUAAUACCGCAUACGACCUUCGGGUGAAAGCAGGGGACCUUCGGGCCUUGCGCGAUUGAAUGAGCCGAUGUCGGAUUAGCUAGUUGGCGGGGUAAAGGCCCACCAAGGCGACGAUCCGUAGCUGGUCUGAGAGGAUGAUCAGCCACACUGGAACUGAGACACGGUCCAGACUCCUACGGGAGGCAGCAGUGGGGAAUAUUGGACAAUGGGCGCAAGCCUGAUCCAGCCAUACCGCGUGGGUGAAGAAGGCCUUCGGGUUGUAAAGCCCUUUUGUUGGGAAAGAAAAGCAGCGGGCUAAUACCUUGCUGUUCUGACGGUACCCAAAGAAUAAGCACCGGCUAACUUCGUGCCAGCAGCCGCGGUAAUACGAAGGGUGCAAGCGUUACUCGGAAUUACUGGGCGUAAAGCGUGCGUAGGUGGUUGUUUAAGUCUGUUGUGAAAGCCCUGGGCUCAACCUGGGAACUGCAGUGGAAACUGGAUGACUAGAGUGUGGUAGAGGGUAGCGGAAUUCCCGGUGUAGCAGUGAAAUGCGUAGAGAUCCG
rnacentral:rRNA from 1 species